rnacentral:rRNA from 1 species
AACGCUGGCGGCGCGCUUAACACAUGCAAGUCGAGCGAGAAAGGGGAGCAAUCCCUGAGUACAGCGGCGUACGGGUGAGUAACACGUGGGUAAUCUACCUUCUAGUGGGGGAUAACCCUGGGAAACCGGGGCUAAUACCGCAUAAUCCUGUGAAGGGAAAGCAGCAAUGCGCUGGAAGAGGAGCCCGCGGCCGAUUAGCUAGUUGAUGAGGUAACGGCCCACCAAGGCGACGAUCGGUAGCCGGCCUGAGAGGGCACACGGCCACACUGGCACUGAAACACGGGCCAGACUCCUACGGGAGGCAGCAGUGGGGAAUCUUGCACAAUGGAGGCAACUCUGAUGCAGCGACGCCGCGUGAGCGAUGAAGCCCUUCGGGGUGUAAAGCUCUUUCGGCAGGGACGAUAAUG